GCCUUCGUGGUGUAGUGGUCAGCACGCUCGACGCGUAUUCGAGAGGUCCGUGGUUCGAGUCCCGACGAGGGCA
rfam:Stegodyphus mimosarum contig100328, whole genome shotgun sequence.